rnacentral:rRNA from 1 species
CGAGCCUACGGGGGGCAGCAGUGAGGAAUAUUGGUCAAUGGCCGCAGGGCUGAACCAGCCAGGUCGCGUGAGGGAUGACGGUCCUAUGGAUUGUAAACCUCUUUUGUCAGGGAGCAAAGGGCGCCACGUGUGGCGUUUUGCGAGUACCUGAAGAAAAAGCAUCGGCUAACUCCGUGCCAGCAGCCGCGGUAAUACGGAGGAUGCGAGCGUUAUCCGAAAUCACUGGGGGUAAAGGGAGCGUAGACGG